GUUUCAGCAGCCGCGGUAAUACGAAGGGGGCUAGCGUUGCUCGGAAUCACUGGGCGUAAAGCGCACGUAGGCGGAUGUUUAAGUCAGAGGUGAAAGCCUGGAGCUCAACUCCAGAACUGCCUUUGAUACUGGGCAUCUUGAGUCCGGAAGAGGUAAGUGGAACUGCGAGUGUAGAGGUGAAAUUCGUAGAUAUUCGCAAGAACACCAGUGGCGAAGGCGGCUUACUGGUCCGGUACUGACGCUGAGGUGCGAAAGCGUGGGGAGCAAACAGGAUUAGAAACCCUCGUAGUCC
rnacentral:rRNA from 1 species